rnacentral:rRNA from 1 species
UACGUAGGUGGCAAGCGUUGUCCGGAAUUAUUGGGCGUAAAGCGCGCGCAGGCGGGAUAUCAAGUCUGUCUUAAAAGUGCGAGGCUCAACCUCGUGAGGGGACAGAAACUGGUAUUCUUGAGUGUCGGAGAGGAAAGUGGAAUUCCAAGUGUAGCGGUGAAAUGCGUAGAGAUUUGGAAGAACACCAGUGGCGAAGGCGACUUUCUGGACGAUGUCUGACGCUGAGGCGCGAAAGCUAGGGGAGCGAACGGGAUUGAGAUACCCCGGUAGUCCUAGCCGUAAACGAUGGGUACUAGGUGUAGGGGGUAUCGACCCCUC